UUAAGUUCUUCAAACAUUACGAACAUUUUUAAGUAUUUUUUAUAGAAAAUAACGAUUCUCCUUCUUUAUGAGUGGUCAUUUUCCAAUAGAAUAAACAGGUCCAGGAAGAUAUUUAAACAGUUCACCGAUGUAUACAAUAUUGUAGUGAAAAAGCUAUGGAGAUGAUCCAUUUCACAUGAAUGAAAAACUAUUUAUCUUACAGCAAUAUAAGAAGCUUAAAUGCAUAUACAAUAUAAACUACCAACUUAGUUAAGGCUAUACAACUCCAUUUCGAGCAUUUUACUAAAAUUACUACUGGAAAAUUAGAUACAUCGAAAGUGGCAAAAGGAGAGCAGCGGACACUUAAAAUUACAGAGGGGUAAACAAAACUCAUCCGUUGUCGAUCAAUCAGCCAAAGGGAAAACAAGUCGAUGUAAAUUCCUCUGCUACCUAAACUAGAGAAUCGAUUUGACAUACCUUACG